rnacentral:rRNA from 1 species
UACGGAGGGAGCUAGCGUUGUUCGGAAUUACUGGGCGUAAAGCGCGCGUAGGCGGCUUUGUAAGUUAGAGGUGAAAGCCCGGGGCUCAACCCCGGAAUUGCCUUUAAGACUGCAUCGCUUGAAUCCGGGAGAGGUGAGUGGAAUUCCGAGUGUAGAGGUGAAAUUCGUAGAUAUCGGGAGGAACACCGGUGGCGAAGGCGGCGAUCUGGGUCGAUACUGACGCUGAGGUGCGAAAGCGUGGGGAGCAAACAGG